rnacentral:rRNA from 1 species
GACGAACGCUGGCGGCGUGCCUAACACAUGCAAGUCAACUUGACUGAAGGAGCAAUCUGACAGUAGAGUGGCGCAAGGGUGCGUAACGCGUAAGUAACUUGCCCAAGGUAAGGAAUAACGUCGAGAAAUCGGCGCUAAUACCUCAUAAUGCAGCGGAUCCGCAUGGAUAUGUUGUUAAAGGUUUACCGCCUUGGGAUAGGCUUGCGUCUGAUUAGUUAGUUGGUGUGGUAACGGCACACCAAGGCUACGAUCAGUAACUGGUCUGAGAGGAUGAUCAGUCACACUGGAACUGAGACACGGUCCAGACUCCUACGGGAGGCAGCAGUGAGGAAUAUUGGGCAAUGCUCGAAAGAGUGACCCAGCAACGCCGCGUGGAGGAUGAAGGUAUUCUAUAUCGUAAACUCCUGUGAGAGCAGACGAAAGCAGAUUAUUAACUCUGGAUGACUGUAUGCUCAGAGGAAGCCCCC